UGCAUGUGUGUGCAUGUUAGAAUGGAGCUU
rnacentral:piRNA from 1 species